UGAGGUGGUGUGGUUGAACAGGAU
rnacentral:siRNA from 1 species